rnacentral:rRNA from 2 species
AAAGAUUAAGCCAUGCAUGUCUAAGUAUAAGCAACUAUACAGUGAAACUGCGAAUGGCUCAUUAAAUCAGUUAUCGUUUAUUUGAUAGUACCUUACUACUUGGAUAACCGUGGUAAUUCUAGAGCUAAUACAUGCUAAAAAUCCCGACCUCCGGAAGGGAUGUAUUUAUUAGAUAAAAAACCAAUGCCUUCGGGCUCACUGGUGAUUCAUGAUAACUUAACGAAUCGCAUGGCCUUGCGCCGGCGAUGGUUCAUUCAAAUUUCUGCCCUAUCAACUUUCGAUGGUAGGAUAGUGGCCUACCAUGGUUUCAACGGGUAACGGGGAAUUAGGGUUCUAUUCCGGAGAGGGAGCCUGAGAAACGGCUACCACAUCCAAGGAAGGCAGCAGGCGCGCAAAUUACCCAAUCCCAAUUCGGGGAGGUAGUGACAAUAAAUACUGAUACAGGGCUCUUUCGGGUCUUGUAAUUGGAAUGAGUACAAUUUAAAUCCCUUAACGAGGAACAAUUGGAGG